AGUGAACGCUGGCGGUAGGCCUAACACAUGCAAGUCGAACGGCAGCACAGUAAGAGCUUGCUCUUACGGGUGGCGAGUGGCGGACGGGUGAGGAAUACAUCGGAAUCUACUUUUUCGUGGGGGAUAACGUAGGGAAACGUACGCUAAUACCGCAUACGACCUACGGGUGAAAGCAGGGGAUCUUCGGACCUUGCGGGAUUGAAUGAGCCGAUGUCGGAUUAGCUAGUUGGCGGGGUAAAGGCCCACCAAGGCGACGAUCCGUAGCUGGUCUGAGAGGAUGAUCAGCCACACUGGAACUGAGACACGGUCCAGACUCCUACGGGAGGCAGCAGUGGGGAAUAUUGCACAAUGGGCGCAAGCCUGAUCCAGCCAUACCGCGUGGGUGAAGAAGGACUUCGGGUUGUAAAGCCCUUUUGUUGGGAAAGAAAAGCAGCAGGUUAAUCCCCCGCUGUUCUGACGGUACCCAAAGAAUAAGCACCGGCUAACUUCGUG
rnacentral:rRNA from 1 species